rnacentral:rRNA from 1 species
CCUANGGGGGGCAGCAGUGAGGAAUAUUGGGCAAUGGGCGCAAGCCUGACCCAGCCAUGCCGCGUGCAGGAUGACGGCGCUAUGCGUUGUAAACUGCUUUUAUUCAGGAAGAAACCCAUCUACGUGUAGGUGGUUGACGGUACUGAAUGAAUAAGCAUCGGCUAACUCCGUGCCAGCAGCCGCGGUAAUACGGAGGAUGCAAGUGUUAUCCGGAUUCAUUGGGUUUAAAGGGUGCGUAGGCGGAGUACUAAGUCAGCGAUGAAAUCCUGCAGCUUAACUGUAGAACUGUCAUUGAUACUGGUAUUCUUGAAUGCAGUUGAGGUAGGCGGAAUGUGUAAUGUAGCGGUGAAAUGCUUAGAUAUUACACAGAACACCGAUUGCGAAGGCAGCUUACUAAACUGUGAUUGACGCUGAGGCACGAAAGCGUGGGGAGCAAACAGGAUUAGAUACCCUGNUANUC